GACGUAGGGGGCGAGCGUUGUCCGGAUUUAUUGGGCGUAAAGAGCUCGUAGGCGGCUUAGUAAGUCGGGUGUGAAAACCCCAGGCUCAACCUGGGGACGCCACCCGAUACUGCUAUAGCUAGAGUCCAGUAGGGGAGUGUGGAAUUCCCAGUGUAGCGGUGAAAUGCGCAGAUAUUGGGAGGAACACCAGCGGCGAAGGCGGCACUCUGGGCUGAAACUGACGCUGAGGAGCGAAAGCGUGGGUAGCAAACAGG
rnacentral:rRNA from 1 species